rnacentral:lncRNA from 1 species
GCUCCAGCCAGGCCGAGCAGCAGCAGUGCCUGGACAAGCUAAAGCCGCUGCCCAAGUACAGGGAGCCCCUGCGCCGCCUGAGCAACGGGAUCCACGGGAACCAAGACAUCAAAAGGGCUGCGGUAAGACGAGCCUUCUGGACGCUCUGACAGUCCGCUCUCAGCGGUGUCCCCUGGAGACCCUGUGGAAGCCUGAGAUCGCCCUGGAGAAACGCAAGCAUGACCUGGAGGUGCCCACGCCCCGAGUGCCCCUGGCGCCGCUGACCACGCAGCAGCACCUGCGCUGGCCGCUCCUGGAAGCCGGCCUGGCCCGCAUCUGCUCGGAAU